ACUCAAGUAGCUUAGCAUAGAGCACUACACUGAAGAUGUAGGGGGGACGUUGUCGUCCUUGGGUG
rnacentral:tRNA from 1 species